rnacentral:rRNA from 1 species
AACAGGAUUAGAUACCCUGGUAGUCCAUGCCGUAAACGAUGAUUACUAAGUGUUGGAGGGUUUCCGCCCUUCAGUGCUGCAGCUAACGCAUUAAGUAAUCCGCCUGGGGAGUACGACCGCAAGGUUGAAACUCAAAAGAAUUGACGGGGGCCCGCACAAGCGGUGGAGCAUGUGGUUUAAUUCGAAGCUACGCGAAGAACCUUACCAGGUCUUGACAUCUUCUGCCAACCUAAGAGAUUAGGCGUUCCCUUCGGGGACAGAAUGACAGGUGGUGCAUGGUUGUCGUCAGCUCGUGUCGUGAGAUGUUGGGUUAAGUCCCGCAACGAGCGCAACCCUUAUUACUAGUUGCCAGCAUUCAGUUGGGCACUCUAGUGAGACUGCCGGUGACAAACCGGAGGAAGGUGGGGACGACGUCAAAUCAUCAUGCCCCUUAUGACCUGGGCUACACACGUGCUACAAUGGAUGGUACAACGAGUCGCGAAACCGCGAGGUUUAGCUGACCUCUUAAAACCAUUCUCAGUUCGGACUGUAGGCUGCAACUCGCCUACACGAAGUCGGAAUCGCUAGUAAUCGCGGAUCAGCAUGCCGCGGUGAAUACGUUCCCGGGCCUUGUACACACCGCCCGUCACACCAUGAGAGUUUGUAACACCCAAAGCCGGUGGGGUAACCUUUUAGGAGCUAGCCGUCUAAGGUGGGACAGAUGAUUAGGGUGAAGUCGUAACAAGGUAACC